CUACGGGUGGCACCAGUGAGGAAUAUUGCACAAUGGGAGGAACCCUGAUGCAGCAACGCCGCGUGGAGGAUGACGCAUUUCGGUGUGUAAACUCCUUUUAUAUGUCAAGAAAAUGACGGUAGCAUAUGAAUAAGCACCGGCUAACUCCGUGCCAGCAGCCGCGGUAAUACGGAGGGUGCGAGCGUUACUCAGAAUCACUGGGCGUAAAGGACGCGUAGGCGGGUUGGAAAGUCAGGUGUGAAAUCCUACAGCUUAACUGUAGAACUGCACUUGAAACUUCUAAUCUAGAGUAUGGGAGGGGGAGAUGGAAUUAGUGGUGUAGGGGUAAAAUCCGUAGAUAUCACUAGGAAUACCUAAAGCGAAGGCGAUCUCCUGGAACAUUACUGACGCUAAGGCGUGAAAGCGUGGGGAGCAAACAGGAUUAGAUACCCCGGUAGUC
rnacentral:rRNA from 1 species